rnacentral:lncRNA from 1 species
GCAGCUUCCACUGAGUUUUAUCUGGUCUCAUGUUCCAUCCUUCUGGGUUCUUGGGAAUUACUUUUGUUUUACCAGACCAGACAACACUUAAGAAUUUGACAGACAGGUUUUGGCAUUGCAGGACUGUCACUUGGCAGACCCUUUUCAACAGUGAUUCAAAAAAGAGCCUGAGGGCCCAGGAGAUGAUGACAGGCACAGCCACCCCCACCUUCCAGAUCUCCUCAACCAUCUGCAUAAUCUUCUUGAUCUCUGCCAAUGGGAACCAGGCAUUGUACUUCUUGUUGGCUCACCUGCUAGGGAAGUCUUCCCACCUCUUGCCUUACACAGUAGAAAAUGGUGAAAAACAGCCAAGCCACUCAUCUGGCCAACUCAUGGUGGAGGGGAAGAAUUUGUAUCUAGCACUUCUAAGGCCUGUAAUUCAUCUCCAGGUGCCAGGCAGAUUGCCUCCCAGUCCUCAGCUGCCUUCCAGGCUUCCAAAAAGGUGCCAACAGGACACCCACCUCAUCCUGCCAACUAUGCCACUUGUCAGUGUAAGAGAGAUGAAGUGCUAUUUUCUCAGUCUCAGAGGCUGGAGAAUAAGUCUUCAUGCUGCAAAGAGACGUAGAAGGUUCAUCACAGCAUCCACUCCAUUAAGGUAUAUGGUGAGAGCUUGGUCACAAAAGUUAGGUCUAGGCCCAAAACAUUUCAGCUAAAAAUAAGCUCUCUAAAACUGUGCACAGAAGGCAAAGACCACCUUGAUGUUCUAUUAAUCUAAAUCAUGGGCAAAAUCUGUGAAUGACAAGUUGUACUCUAUGGCCCAGACUUUAAAAUUUCCAGGGCUGUGGGCAGAGUCAAGAAAGGUCACUUGAAAGAUGUCUCAAGACUCGUCUGUGGAAGCUGUCACACUAAUGG